rnacentral:rRNA from 1 species
ACACUCCUACGGGAGGCAGCAGUGGGGAAUUUUGGACAAUGGGCGAAAGCCUGAUCCAGCAAUGCCGCGUGAGUGAAGAAGGCCUUCGGGUUGUAAAGCUCUUUUGUCAGGGAAGAAACGGUGAGAGCUAAUAUCUCUUGCUAAUGACGGUACCUGAAGAAUAAGCACCGGCUAACUACGUGCCAGCAGCCGCGGUAAUACGUAGGGUGCAAGCGUUAAUCGGAAUUACUGGGCGUAAAGCGUGCGCAGGCGGUUUUGUAAGUCUGAUGUGAAAUCCCCGGGCUCAACCUGGGAAUUGCAUUGGAGACUGCAAGGCUAGAAUCUGGCAGAGGGGGGUAGAAUUCCACGUGUAGCAGUGAAAUGCGUAGAUAUGUGGAGGAACACCGAUGGCGAAGGCAGCCCCCUGGGUCAAGAUUGACGCUCAUGCACGAAAGCGUGGGGAGCAAACAGGAUUAGAUACCCGGGUAGUCCCA